rnacentral:rRNA from 1 species
UACGUAGGGGGCUAGCGUUGUCCGGAAUCAUUGGGCGUAAAGCGCGUGUAGGCGGUCCGGUAAGUCCGCUGUGAAAGUCGGGGGCUCAACCCUCGAAUGCCGGUGGAUACUGUUGGGCUAGAGUGCGGAAGAGGCGAGUGGAAUUCCUGGUGUAGCGGUGAAAUGCGCAGAUAUCAGGAGGAACACCAAUUGCGAAGGCAGCUCGCUGGGACGUUACUGACGCUGAGACGCGAAAGCGUGGGGAGCAAACAGG